rnacentral:rRNA from 1 species
UGGGGAAUAUUGGGCAAUGGGCGCAAGCCUGACCCAGCAACGCCGCGUGAAGGAAGAAGGCUUUCGGGUUGUAAACUUCUUUUGUCGGGGACGAAACAAAUGACGGUACCUGACGAAUAAGCCACGGCUAACUACGUGCCAGCAGCCGCGGUAAUACGUAGGUGGCAAGCGUUAUCCGGAUUUACUGGGUGUAAAGGGCGUGUAGGCGGGAUUGCAAGUCAGAUGUGAAAAACUGGGGGCUCAACCUCCAGCCUGCAUUUGAAACUGUAGUUCUUGAGUGCUGGAGAGGCAAUCGGAAUUCCGUGUGUAGCGGUGAAAUGCGUAGAUAUACGGAGGAACACCAGUGGCGAAGGCGGAUUGCUGGACAGUAACUGACGCUGAGGCGCGAAAGCGUGGGGAGCAAACAGGAUUAGAUACCC